CAACGCCGCGUGAGUGAAGAAGGUUUUCGGAUCGUAAAGCUCUGUUGUAAGAGAAGAACGAGUGUGAGAGUGGAAAGUUCACACUGUGACGGUAACUUACCAGAAAGGGACGGCUAACUACGUGCCAGCAGCCGCGGUAAUACGUAGGUCCCGAGCGUUAUCCGGAUUUAUUGGGCGUAAAGCGAGCGCAGGCGGUUAGAUAAGUCUGAAGUUAAAGGCUGUGGCUUAACCAUAGUACGCUUUGGAAACUGUUUAACUUGAGUGCAGAAGGGGAGAGUGGAAUUCCAUGUGUAGCGGUGAAAUGCGUAGAUAUAUGGAGGAACACCGGUGGCGAAAGCGGCUCUCUGGUCUGUAACUGACGCUGAGGCUCGAAAGCGUGGGGAGCAAACAGGAUUAGAUACCCUGGUAGUCCACGCCGUAAACGAUGAGUGCUAGGUGUUGGGUCCUUUCCGGGACUCAGUGCCGCAGCUAACGCAUUAAGCACUCCGCCUGGGGAGUACGACCGCAAGGUUGAAACUCAAAGGAAUUGACGGGGGCCCGCACAAG
rnacentral:rRNA from 1 species